UACAUGGGGUGCAAACGUUGCUCGGAAUUAUUGGGCGUAAAGCGCGCGUAGGCGGUUAUUCAAGUCGGAUGUGAAAGCCCUCGGCUUAACUGAGGAAGUGCACCCGAAACUGAGUAGCUAGAGUACCAAAGAGGGUCGCGGAAUUCCCGGUGUAGAGGUGAAAUUCGUAGAUAUCGGGAGGAACACCGGUGGCGAAGGCGGCGACCUGGGUGGAUACUGACGCUGAGGCGCGAAAGCCGUGGGGAGCAAACAGG
rnacentral:rRNA from 1 species